GGAAAAGAAACUAACAAGGAUUCCCCUAGUAACGGCGAGUGAAGAGGGAAGAGCCCAAGAUUGAAAGCUGGCGCCUUCGGCGUCCGCAUUGUAAUCUCAAGAAGUGUUUUCCGCUUCGGACCAUGCCUAAGUCCCUUGGAAAAGGGCAUCAUAGAGGGUGAUAAUCCCGUACAUGGCAUGGAGCGCCCGAAGCUUUGUGAUACGCUUUCUAAGAGUCGAGUUGUUUGGGAAUGCAGCUCAAAAUGGGUGGUAAAUGCCAUCUAAGGCUAAAUAUUGGGGAGAGACCGAUAGCGAACAAGUACAGUGAUGGAAAGAUGAAAAGAACUUUGAAAAGAGAGUUAAACAGUACGUGAAAUUGCCAAAAGGGAAGGGUAGGAGGUCAGAGAUGCGUCGCAGGAUUCAGCCUUGCUUUUGCUUGGUGUUUUUCCUGCGUUGCAGGCCAACGUCGGUUUUGGGCACUGGAGAAGGGUAGGAGGAACGUGGCACCUCUCGGGGUGUGUUAUAGCCUCCUACUGGAUACAGCGACCGAGACCGAGGAACGCAGCGUACUCGUAAGAGCGGGCCUUUUGGCACCUUUACGCUUAGGGCGUUGGCAUAAUGGCCCUCUACC
rnacentral:rRNA from 1 species